rnacentral:rRNA from 1 species
UACGUAGGGACCAAGCGUUGUUCGGAUUUACUGGGCGUAAAGCGCGUGUAGGCGGCCCUGCAAGUCGGGCGUGAAAUCCCACGGCUCAACCGUGGAAGUGCAUUCGAAACUGCAGGGCUAGAGUCCUGGAGAGGAAGGUGGAAUGCUUGGUGUAGAGGUGAAAUUCGUAGAUAUCAAGCGGAACACCGGUGGCGAAGGCGGCCUUCUGGACAGUGACUGACGCUGAGACGCGAAAGCGUGGGGAGCAAACAGG